AUUGAACGCUGGCGGCAGGCCUAACACAUGCAAGUCGAGCGAGCGGCGGACGGGUGAGUAAUGUAUGGGGACUGCCCGAUAGAGGGGGAUAACUACUGGGAACGGUGGCUAAUAACGCAUACUAUCGGAUAACCCCUAUGGGAUUAGCUAGUAGGUGGGGUAAAGGCUCACCUAGGCGACGAUCUCUAGCUGGUCUGAGAGGAUGAGCAGCGACGCUGGGACGGAGACACGGCCCAGAGUCCUACGGAGGGAGCAGUGGGGAAUAUUGCACAAUGGGCGCAAGCCUGAUGCAGCGACGCCGGGAGGGGGAUGAAGGCUUUCGGGUUGUAAACCUCUUUCGCUAUCGAACGGGUAGGUGGAGAAGAAGCGCCGGCGAACUACGUGCCAGCAGCCGCGGUAAUAC
rnacentral:rRNA from 1 species